ACUUUCCCCAUCUAAAGUGUUGAGCAGAGAAUUCAUUGAUGCCACAUUUUGGAGAAACUGUGAAAUGAUAAAAAUGGAUUGUUUUAACUGCUGACACAGUGAAAGGUUCUACAUUCUGUAUGUCCAAGCUGUCAUUUCAUGAGGACCGUUUGGUGGGUGUGUGAACUGGUCACACUAAGAAGAACUGGGAGGUCUUAUGAAGAGUGGUCAAAACACAGAAGUCUUUACCAAGUCCUGUAACUAUGAAUAUCAGAAAUGAAUCUUUUGGCAUUCAUCAAGGACUAGUUGACAGGAGCCCUGGCUGAAAAAAAUCCACCACAAAUUCUGAGGUAGACCCAGAUAACAGUCUGACACUGAGGAAGGUUGAUGCAGAAACUCAAGGAGGAACACAGGAAGGAAGCAUCAUGGGAAGCUACUUUAUGGAAGACUUAACCCUGAGCCUCUGCUUAGCUAGCUUACUUUUAAAAAAUAUUUUCUAUUGUUUUUGCAACAUGUUAUUCAUUCGCCAAACUGUUAACAUUUAACAUGAAUAACAACUUCUAGCACUAUGAAAGCUAGCCAGUAGUAAUGAAGCCUCCAAGUCAAUACCAGCAUGAUUUCCCCAUAUUGUAUGAUUCAAGUAUGUGAUGUCUUCAGGAACAGAAUAUUUCCAUCAAGUCCUGGAAAGUAACUAAAAGCAAUAAUAAUGAGGAUGGGGUGUCUAUGGAGCAUCACUGGCCAACAACUCAUUCCUGACUUUGGGCUUUUAUUUGCUGAUAUCGGAGUCAACAGAAGAACUGAGCCACAUCAGUACACAGCAUUCAUGUUAUGUUCCUUAGGGUUCCUGAUGUCAACCCACUUAUUCUAAUCUCUCCAGGGAAGUCUUCUGUAAUAAAUGACUUGCCAGGAAUGUUUGGCUCACAAUCUGCUUUGGGAAGAGCAGGACCUCAGAUGUAUCUGGAGACUCCCGAACCCAGCUGUGUGAAUCCUCAUAACUAUUCUGCUUGGGAAUUUGCUUGGCUAUCACAGAAACAUCUAGGAUCACAAAUCACUUGGAUUCCCACACAUCCAGUUCCCCUCUUCACCCCUGAUCAAGGCCCAGGAUCCUUCAGCAGAUUGGACCCUGUCAAAGAAGGGAAUCAACAUGUUUCUGGCUGCUUGACAUUGUCAGUUGCGUUCUUAAUUCCAGCUUUAUGUUCUCACCCAUCAUUUUAAGUAUGUGUUACUAGAUCUGUUUUAUAGUCAAGGAAACUGGAGUUCAGAGAGGUUAUAAAAACUGAACAAAUUCCCACACACUAAGACACAACUCGGGAUUUUAACUUUAAACUUCAAGUUCAGUGAAUUGUGCACAAGCACAGCAACUGGCCUUGACGUUCCCACCUGAGAGUAAAUAAUGGUCCGAAGAGAUCACAUCACCAUUGCAUCGAGAAUCAGACAGAACCCAGGCCGUUACAGCACCAUGACGAUGACUAAGUGCCACGAUAAUGCCUAAGUACAAUGACAAUGACUAAAGCAGCCCUCCCUUCACUCCUGUGAGUCAUUGUUCUUUUCCAACUGUGGCCUAGUUCAGGUUAAUCAUUCUAACUCCUAGAUAAAUGCAUCCCAAUUUCUUGACAAAAUCCAAUCUAAAACUAGGUCCCUGCUUUCUUAUUUUCCCCUUGAAGUUAUUUCAAGUCUAGUCUGUUCUCAAGAUGCUCCCAGACUCCACUGACCUUCACUUUCUUUUCCUGCAGCACCCUAAGGGGCUUAAUUAUGUUGACAUCAAAGAUGUCCCUGGUGGCUUAAUUGUCUGCAUUUCUUGAUUUAUCAAGUGUUUUCCAAUAUAAUUUCUCCAUAGAAGAAAUAUGCUAUUGUCUAGUAUCAUAUUUCAUGAAAUGUUAGACUUU